GAUGAACGCUGGCGGCGUGCCUAAUACAUGCAAGUCGAGCGAACGGACGAGAAGCUUGCUUCUCUGAUGUUAGCGGCGGGCGGGUGAGUAACACGUGGAUAACCUACCUAUAAGACUGGGAUAACUUCGGGAAACCGGAGCUAAUACCGGAUAAUAUUUUGAACCGCAUGGUUCAAAAGUGAAAGACAGUCUUGCUGUCACUUAUAGAUGGAUCCGCGCUGCAUUAGCUAGUUGGUAAGGUAACGGCUUACCAAGGCAACGAUGCAUAGCCGACCUGAGAGGGUGAUCGGCCACACUGGAACUGAGACACGGUCCAGACUCCUACGGGAGGCAGCAGUAGGGAAUCUUCCGCAAUGGGCGAAAGCCUGACGGAGCAACGCCGCGUGAGUGAUGAAGGUCUUCGGAUCGUAAAACUCUGUUAUUAGGGAAGAACAUAUGUGUAAGUAACUGUGCACAUCUUGACGGUACCUAAUCAGAAAGCCACGGCUAACUACGUG
rnacentral:rRNA from 1 species